rnacentral:misc_RNA from 1 species
UCCAAAUUGAUUAUUUUAUGUUAAACUUGACAAAUACAUAUAUGACUGCACAAAUUAAAACCUUUUUCUGACCAUUAAAAUAAAACUUAUCCGUAGAGUAAUACACUGUAAUGAGGGUAAUGGAGUUGAUAACAAGAGAUUUCACAUAAACUUCCUGAAACUAUAGAUGCAUAUUUCCAAUCAGAAGAAUAGAAUGAAUCACUUCAGCAGUUCCUACUGUAAAUGACAAAAUUAAGUGUGGCUUGUACCAAGAAAACACUGAAAAAUCAGCAGCUCUGCUCUUUUUAAUUACUUGAAAAACAUGAAUUUACUUAGACAUGGCUUGAUUUGGAGGGGGAACAUUUAGUUGUUCAUCAUCAGCCUGUCUUCCCUGUUGCUGAGCCAGGAUUCCUUUCCAACCUACAUUCAACAUUCACAAAAUUAACACAGUAAAUUUUUCAAAAUUGAGUGCUGUAAUGCAGUGCUGAUUCAAACUACAAAGAAGAAACAAAAAUUCCCUUUUUCUUGAAUUUUCCGUAUUUUUCUUUUUAUCUCUUCUACAUUAAAAACUUCAGAAGGGAAUAGGAUAGGGUUUGAACUUGUAGUCUUUACAGAAUGAUAAUGGUAGCAAUCAGAGCUCAUUGUUCCCUGCAAUUAGACAAAAUCCCUGGCCAUUCUUUUGGAUACGGUUGAAUACAUUAGAGACCAACAUGACUGAUACGUACUGAGAAGUGAGAAGGAUAGUACCUAAAGCAGGGUCAAGUCCUCUGUUUUUAAGCUCUCUGAACUCCUGGCAAAGGGAACAACAUGGACAAAAUAUAUGAGAUACCACAUCUGUGUAGGGAGCUUCUUCCAAAUUAAACUUCUUUCUCAGCUUAGUUCUGUACUCAGUGCUCAAAAUCCAUUGAGAGUAUGAAGCAAGCAUCAAAAAGAAGUAACAGGAACUCCUACCCCUACAAGCUGCAUUCACUAGUUAACAUCGUUUUUACAAAAUGGGAAGAAAAAAUAAAAAAAAAAUGAUAGGCUAUAUAGAGAAACUUACUAGACUUUCCUUCGUCCAACACUUCUGAUAUUUGUCCGAACGUUGCACAAGGAACAAAUGCUGUAGCAAUGGCUGACAAAACAUAUAAGAAAUGUCAAGAAAUCACUGAAGUUAAAAGCUUAAGCUUAUAGGGGAGAACUCCAAGAAACAAGAAAGACAAUGGUCUUGUUGAUGUUCAGAAAGAGAGAAAAGGGAAAUCUUUAAUUUUCUGAGUUGGAGAUUUACAAUUUGUUUGAUCUUGACGACAAUCAAACAAUCCAGAAGUCCAGGGACGUCCAAUCACUAGAUCUACAUCUAAUAAGCUAGUGGAAGAAUCUUGGGGCGUCUCAGAAUGAUUGCUUGAUGAAGCUUGAGGCUGAGUUGUUGUUGUAGUGAUUGCAGGCUGAUCUGAUGGUAAUGUUUCUUUGAUCUCCUCAGUGAUUUCAUGCCUACCCAUAUGAUCAACUAAAGAAAUAAAUGAACUCCUGAGCUAUCUUCAAUAUUCCAGGACUUGUUUCAAAACAGCGUCCUUAUCAACGAACCUGGAAUAGAAAAGUCCAACUCAAGCCAUAUAGGGUGUAGACGAAUUACAGUGCGAUAGGAAAAUUAAGAAGCCGCCGAAGAAGGAAAGAGGAUUACAAAUGAUCUAUAGCAAAGAAUAGCCAUCCCAACAAGUUUCCAAGUUUUAGUUGUUUUGCUGGAAAUACUAAUAAAAUAUAUAAAUUAACAUAUUGGACGGUAGCUUAUAGUGCCUUGUCCCGUGUGGUUGGGUAGAAGACUAGAAAUUCAAACUCUCUCCUUAAAAAAUUUCUGCAGUCAAAAUUAUAUAUAUACAUAUAGAACGCCAAAUGUCAAAUGACAUACCCGCUCCAUUGUUGAAUGUUAGACCAACCUCAUGCAAAAACUUCUAGAGGCCAACCAGAAGCAUAUCUGUUGCGCACCGCAAAAAUAUAUAAAUUACUAAGAAAUAAAAUAAACAUACAAAAUACUUACCUGAUUCACCCUCUCAAUAUAAUGAUACAUCCAUAGCCAUGUCAUUUUCCAUUAUUAACAAGUAAUAAAUAAUCAAUUACAAGCUCAAACUACACUACUCAUAAAUCCAAUUACACCCAAGAGAAUUCAUACUACAGAAUCCAUAUUACAGUCAAUAUAUUAUUUAGUCCAUCUCAAUCUCCUCUAGACAUAAAUCAAUACAUUUAUUAUUAUAACUGCUACACCACAAAUGGUGUCUUCAACUACAUUGGCAAGAGUCCUCUCAUCAAUAGACAAAAAUUCCUUUCUUUUGAAUUCUAUGCCCUUUCACCAAUUUAGGCCGAAACCUCUUUCCCUCUAUGGGACUGCAAUGGGCAUGAGCUCCUCUUCAAUGGGCAAAGCCGCUCUCUUCAAUGGGCAAAGCCGCUCCCUCAAAUUCUUUAGUGUUAUCAAAUAAUCAAAUCUCCAUGCUUGAACUUGAAUCAUUCGAAUCUUCAUUCUUUGAUCUUCAUCUUGGGUGUAACUUAUUUCUUUCUUCAGAAAAUCUUCGAGUCAAACUUUUUUGAUUUUGCAUCAAGAGCUCCACCUUAAAUUUAAUUCUCCAUCGUCAUCAUUAUUGUAUGUGCGACUUUCUAUAUGUCGCAGUAGCUCUACCUUCAACCAAACUCAUCAAGAU